GAUUGUCAUUGUAGCCUUUUUUGACCUUACUGGACAGGGCUCUAUGGAUAACUGACAUUGACAAUACAACCCAUGAAGGUUCUGAUACAGGGAAAGCGGGUAGUUAGAGAAAUUCAUAGAAUUGCAGUUCUAGGAGAGUAAAAAUAGGAAAUGCUUAGUAUGAAGUGAAGCUUCCAUCUAGAAGUUGCAGACUUGGUUUACUGAGAAAUUAGCUCUACAGUGCAGAAGCAUUUGUAUAUCUUUUAUUUUCAAAGGGAUUAUAUCUAACUUAAAGAUCAAACCUGAGAUUUUUAGGAUGCAACAAGAAGAAGAUUUGACAUUCAUGUAUUUAUCCAAGGAAUUAGCAGUCCCAGUGAUAAGAAGCAAAAUUAAAGAAUCAAAAUUGCAUUGAAAAUUUGAGUAUAGAGAAUCUUACUUUUUAUGUUACAUCAUUCAUAAACUUCUAGAAUACUUAACCAUUUUGGACUGUGAACUCAAACUCAAAAUAAGCCUUGAAAAUUCUCUUUUGCGCAGGCCUGGGCUAGACGUAAGAAAAUCCUGGGCAGCCCAAUCGUCAGGAUUCCUCUCUCGACCUUACUGAUGUAGUCCAAAGGAAUGCAGAGCAUUACGUUUGGCACCAGCUUGGUUGCAGGAGCUGCCGGAAGAGUGUCAAGUUGAACACUAAGCUGCCUAUGGGGCUCCACUCCAAAUUUCUUUGAAGGUUGUCUCCUUUCCAUAACUCUGGAUAGGGGCCCAUACCAGGUACUGUCAGCUGAAGCCAGCUGAGCCCAGGACUCGUGUCAGGUAGGGUCAUCACUCGCUGAAGUAGUGAAGAAAAUCGCUACCCACAACCUAAUCACCAAUUAAAGAUGUGAUUUUCUC